rnacentral:rRNA from 1 species
ACUCCUACGGGUAGGCAGCAGUGGGGAAUUUUGGACAAUGGGCGAAAGCCUGAUCCAGCAAUGCCGCGUGAGUGAAGAAGGCCUUCGGGUUGUAAAGCUCUUUUGUCAGGGAAGAAACGGUGCGGGCUAAUAUCCUGCACUAAUGACGGUACCUGAAGAAUAAGCACCGGCUAACUACGUGCCAGCAGCCGCGGUAAUACGUAGGGUGCAAGCGUUAAUCGGAAUUACUGGGCGUAAAGCGUGCGCAGGCGGUUUUGUAAGUCUGAUGUGAAAUCCCCGGGCUCAACCUGGGAAUUGCAUUGGAGACUGCAAGGCUAGAAUCUGGCAGAGGGGGGUAGAAUUCCACGUGUAGCAGUGAAAUGCGUAGAGAUGUGGAGGAACACCGAUGGCGAAGGCAGCCCCCUGGGUCAAGAUUGACGCUCAUGCACGAAAGCGUGGGGAGCAAACAGGAUUAGAUACCCUGGUAGUCCACGCCCUAAACGAUGUCUACUAGUUGUCGGGUUUUAAUUAACUUGGUAACGCAGCUAACGCGUGAAGUAGACCGCCUGGGGAGUACGGUCGC